rnacentral:tRNA from 1 species
AGGGUGUCAUAAGACCUGCUAACUCUUUAAUCUGGGGAUAACAUCCAGCUCCCU